rnacentral:tRNA from 1 species
CGCGUGGUGGUCCAGAGGCGGGCACCUGCUCUUUACCGCGAGUGUAUUCGACUUGCCUUUUGAUUAGCAGGGACGUUGGUUCAAGUCCAACCCACGCGA